rnacentral:rRNA from 1 species
GACGGAGGAUGCAAGCGUUAUCCGGAAUGAUUGGGCGUAAAGCGUCCGCAGGUGGCAGUUCAAGUCUGCUGUCAAAGACCGGGGCUUAACUUCGGAAAGGCAGUGGAAACUGAACAGCUAGAGUAUGGUAGGGGCAGAGGGAAUUCCUGGUGUAGCGGUGAAAUGCGUAGAUAUCAGGAAGAACAUCGGUGGCGAAGGCGCUCUGCUGGACAAUAACUGACACUCAGGGACGAAAGCUAGGGGAGCGAAUGGG